GCUUGUCUCAAAGAUUAAGCCAUGCAUGUCUAAGUAUAAACAAAUCUAUACUGUGAAACUGCGAAUGGCUCAUUAUAUCAGUUAUAGUUUCUUUGAUGGUUCUUACUACUUGGAUAACCGUAGUAAUUCUAGAGCUAAUACAUGCAUGAACCCCCGACUUUUGAAGGGGUGUAUUUAUUAGAUUGAAACCAAUGCGGGUUCCCCGGUAUUUGGUGAUUCAUAAUAACUUUGCGAAUCGCAUAGCUUUUAAUGCUGGCGAUGGGUCAUUCAAAUUUCUGCCCUAUCAACUUUCGACGGUAGGAUAGAGGCCUACUGUGGUGAUAACGGGUAACGAAGAAUAAGGGUUCGAUUUCGGAGAGGGAGCCUGAGAAACGGCUACCACAUCCAAGGAAGGCAGCAGG
rnacentral:rRNA from 1 species